UACAGAGGUCUCAAGCGUUGUUCGGAUUCAUUGGGCGUAAAGGGUGCGUAGGUGGCGCUGUAAGUCGGGUGUGAAAUUUCGGAGCUUAACUCCGAAACUGCAUUCGAUACUGCGGUGCUUGAGGACUGGAGAGGAGACUGGAAUUCAUGGUGUAGCAGUGAAAUGCGUAGAGAUCAUGAGGAAGACCAGUGGCGAAGGCGGGUCUCUGGGCCGUAACUGACGCUGAGGCGCGAAAGCGUGGGGAGCGAACAGG
rnacentral:rRNA from 1 species